rnacentral:piRNA from 1 species
UAAAAAUGAAUAUGAGCUGUGUUGAGA